UAAUACCCCAUAUACUCCGAUUUAUUCGGAGGAAAGCUUUUGCGCUUCGGGAGGGGCCUGCGUAACAUUAGCUUGUUGGUGAGGUAAAAGCUCACCAAGGCUACGAUGUUUAGCUGGUUUGAGAGGAUGAUCAGCCACACUGGGACUGAGAUACGGCCCAGACUCCUACGGGAGGCAGCAGUGAGGAAUAUUCCACAAUGGGGGAAACCCUGAUGGAGCGAUGCCGCGUGCAGGAAGACGCUUUUCGGAGUGUAAACUGCUUUUAAUAGGGAAGAUUAUGACGGUACCUAUCGAAUAAGGACCAGCUAACUACGUGCCAGCAGCCGCGGUAAUACGUAGGGUCCAAGCGUUAUUCGGAAUUACUGGGCGUAAAGCGUACGUAGGCGGUUUGGUAAGUUGGAUGUGAAAUCCUGUGGCUCAACCACAUGGACUGUGUCCAAAACUACCAAACUUGAGCAUAGUAGAGGCAAGUGGAAUUUGCGGUGUAGGAGUGACAUCCGUAGAUAUCGCAAGGAACACCAAUGGCGAAGGCAGCUUGCUGGGCUAUUGCUGACGCUCAGGUACGAAAGCGUGGGGAGCGAACGGGAUUAGAUACCCCGGUAGUCCACGCCGUAAACGAUGAUCACUAACAGUAUGGAGAUUCGACCCUCUGUGUUGUAAAGCU
rnacentral:rRNA from 1 species